GGGUAUGAAAGAAGCGAAGCAUAACUAACGACAAGUCAAAUCACUCUAUUUUGCCAGAAAUCACAAUCCUUGUUUCAUCAACUAUAUUUUCUCCUUGAUUUCCUCAAAUUUCAGACAUAAGGCGCAUUUCCGGAAGCACAACCCCAUUUCGUUUACCAAUGACAGAUAACUCCUGAAUGGAUAGAUGAGUAGAUAAAAUUAGUUGGGUUGUUUUUCCCUUCUGUUGUUCAAUUUCCAAUGCCAAAACAUGAUGAUGAAACCCAAUUUUGAGAGUGGAAACCAAUAUGGUAAUGGUGAUGGAGAAACUAAUUGGAAUAAUGGUCAGCUACUACUGCAAGACAUUCAAGAAAUAAGCAAAGCUCUUUAUUUGAACAACACCCCUUCUAGGCCUUCUUUCUCCACAGCAGUUCAUAAUAGAUCCAAGUCUGCUGGAAAAGCGCGUUUGUCACAACCUCAAGUUACCUUAACCCCAAGAUUUCUAAAGGAAGAUCUGUUUGCCAAGGACAAAAAGUUGUCUUCAGCAUGGAAUUGGAAGAAGCCCUUGAAAGCUUUGACCCGUAUGGGUGAUCACAAGUUCAAAUGUUGCUUUAACCUUCAUGUUCACUCAGUUGAGGGUCUCCCUUUGAGUUUGGAUGGCACUAAUUUAUGUGUGCACUGGAAAAGGAAAAGCAGCAUUUUGCAGACGCGCCCUUCAAGGGUUUUCCAUGGUGCUGCAGAGUUUGAAGAGACUUUGACACAUGGAUGUUCUAUUUAUGUUGGCCGCGCCAUGUCUAGUCACUCUGUCAAGUACGAGCCUAAACGUUUCUUGAUUUAUGCUUCUAUUGUUGGGGAACCUGAGCAUGACAUAGGAAACCGUCAGGUUGAUCUCACUAGGCUUUUACCUCUGACUUUAGCAGAGUUAGGGGGUGAUAAAAGUUCAGGGACAUGGAGCACAAGUUUUAGGUUGGCAGGAAAGGCUGUAGGAGCUAGCCUAAAUGUUAGUUUCAGCUAUCAAGUAAUGAAGGGUGAGUUAAUGGAUGUUGGUGGUGAUAAUUUGAAUGUUCUAAACCUUAUUAACUUGAAGUCUGGCAGGCCCAGCAGCACAGGCAGUGUUGUGGAUUUUGGUCCUAGCAAUAGGGACAUAAAGCUUAGGCAGGCUGGGAGCUUACCGUGCGAACCACAUAACGGAUUGGUCAUUCCUUUUCAUUCUGAUGAUGUGAUUUUAUCUCAUGAAACAUUUAUGAAUUCUGGCUCAAGUCUUUCUAAAUCAAUCAGUUUUCUGUAUCAAAAACUUGAUGAGGGGAACUUCCAUGAUUCAGCAGGGGCAGACACCGAACAUUUUGGACCACUUAAAUCCCAUGCUGUGGUGAAAUCAGAAUCACCUCAAGAAUCAGAUCAACAUGACCCUGAUGACACUGAAUUUACCAUUAUUGAACAAGUAGAAACAUUGGAAGGGGAUUCCUUGAAACUUGAUCAGACGGGAAUUCACACAGUUGAUUUAUCAAUAGUGGAAAUCAUUAAUGUGGAUGAUAUUCUUAAGGAUGAUGACAUAUUUCUUGACAAGAACACAGGAUGUGAUUCAAUCGAUAACAUAUGCACUAGUUGUGUGAAUGGAACUAUAGCAGAUGACAGCAAACAUAAAUGCAGUCGUUCAUGUGUUAAUAUACCUUGUAUCAAGGCUGUGGAUAUAGUUCUUGAAGCAUCAGAGUUACCUGAUCAAGAAGACUACCUGAGUGUUAAAUCAAAUUAUAAAGCACAUAGAAUGGGAAAAAAGUCACAUAGCUUGGAUGAUAUCACAGAAUCUGUUGCAAAUGAUUUCUUAAACAUGCUGGCGAUGGAGAGUGGUUCAUUUGGCUCAGGUUGUGAUGGUGAUCCCCAGUCUCCCAGAGAACAGCUUUUAAGACAGUUUGAGAAAGAGGCUCAAGCUAACUUCACUUUUGAUUUUGAUGAAAAUAAAGAGGAAUUGAGGACAGAUAUACUUGGACAUAGCUGUGAGGAUGUUACUCUGGAUUCCGAUUUGUCUUUAUUUAUUCAAGCUGCUGAAGAGGAGCAUGCAAGGGAGAAUCAGUCAUUAAUGCUGAGAAGGAAGGCCAAAAUUCUUGAAGACCUGGAGACUGACUCAUUGAUGCAACAGUGGGGUUUAAACGAGAGAGACUUUGAAAAUUCUCUGGAAACGUGUUCUGGUGGAUUUGGGAGUCCAAUUGAACUAUCCAAUGAAGAAUCAUCCAUGUUACCUUCAAUUGGACAAGGGCUUGGUUCAUUUGUUCAAAUUAUGGGUGGAGGCUUUUUGAGGUCCAUGAGCCCUUCACUAUUCAGAAAUGCUAAAACUUGUGCGAGCCUAAUCACUCAGGCUUCUAAUCCAGUUAUUCUACCUGCUAAAAUGGGCAAUGAUAUAUUGGAGAUACUGCUGCAUAUGGCAUCUGCUGGAGUUGAAGAGAUGCGUGAUCAUAUCUAUAAAUCAAUGCCUUUGCUAGAUAUCACUGGAAAAUCCAUUGAGCAUAUUGUGCAGGAUGCAACAAACAACAAAGGGGAUCCUGGAAGGCAGGGGUCAUGGCAGCAUGAUUUGUUUGAAUUUCCAUGUGAUAAUUUAACAAACGAAGACAUGGACUUGGACAGUGUGUCUCUUGAAGCUGUAGCUCCUAUGACUGUUAAUAAGAUUGAAUCUCUUUUUAUAGAAGGGUUGCGAAUACAGUCUGGCAUGUUCUAUGAGGAGGCACCCUCAUACAUCCGUGCCCAUCACACGAAGAUACCUGCUGUUGGAGUCAGAAGAGACAACUUGAGAGGGUUUGCCCCAUCAGAAAGAGUAGCUAAACUGCAGGUAGAAGAUGGUGUAGAAGUUGGCAAUGAUGACGAUGGAUUGAUGGGUCUAUCAAUAACAUUGGAUCAGUGGUUGAGAUUGGAUUCUAGCAUUAUUGAUGGAGAGCAGAAUUCAGAGAAAAUUUUGAAUAUCCUUAAAGCACACCAUUCUAAAAUCAGAGAACUAGAUGAUCAAGGGUUGAAAAAUGGCAUGGACCAGUUAAGCACACAUGGAAUAAACCAUGAACUCAUGGGAAACUUCCUAACAGUGGCUUUUAUGAUCCAGCUUAGAGAUCCUCUACGAAAUUUUGAACCAGUUGGUGUUCCAAUGUUGGUUUUAACUCAGGUGGAAAGAGUUCACAUCCUUGCAGGUGUCCUUACCAAAGCCCCUCAGUUUAGAUUUAAAAUCAGCCAGAUUCAUCUGGCAGGUGUCCUUACCAAAGCCAGAAACAAGCAACUUUGGGGUACUGCAGCUCAGCAACAGUCUGGAUUCCGUUGGUUGCUUGCCAGUGGAAUGGCUAGUACUUUUUACCAAGAAGUUGCUGAAUGAGGAUAUCCUGUGGAGCAUUUCCUAUGUUAAUAAUAACACCAAGACUAAUGGCAAAGAGCUGCCAGCUGAAAAUUGUAACGUGAAUAUCUGCUGCUACUGAAAGAUGACAGCAUGAAACCACGUAAUGUUGGACUUUGUAUUAACGAUCACGGUUGAGUCUUUCUACCGCUACACACGUCUGUUUCCACCUUCACAUUGCAUAAUACAUCUUAUGUGUGAUAUAGUAGCAUGAAGCAGGUAGAGAGUUCAAUGUAACGCAUCCUAAUGCUCGAAGGUCAAUUAUACAUGAGCAGUUACCGACUCUAGCAUUGUUGAAUCCCUUGUAACAGUUGGUAAGAGCACAUGCAGUAUUUAGAAAGUAACUAGAAUCACCGUGGCCAACAAAAUAUAUAUACACAAGGGUCAAAACUUGUUCAUAUUUGACCUAGCAAUAACUUGGGUGAGUGUGAUUGCCUUCGUAGGUUGUUAUUACAUACCUUGAAUCAUCCCUAUCUCUCUCAACUCUCUUUUUCACUGGGCAUCCAUCCACUGAACACCUGUAGUAAUUCCUGUAUCAAAUACUCUUACAGAUAAGCCUGUUACAAAUGUGGGGGUAUUUUAUUCACUAAAAAUAGAAAUUUAAAAACUUCUAUAUGGCAUGCAUCUUUCUAUUUUAUCUUUGCUUUAUGUAGUAUUGCACCAUUUACGUUCUUUGUAGUUAUAAGUGUGGGGGUAUUUUAUGCUCAUGUAAGAAAAUAUUUUACUCUACGUUACCUUUUUCUCAU